AGAGUUUGAUCAUGGCUCAGAUUGAACGCUGGCGGCAGGCCUAACACAUGCAAGUCGAGCGGAAACGAGUUAUCUGACCCUUCGGGUGACGAUAACGGCGUCGAGCGGCGGACGGGUGAGUAAUGCCUGGGAAAUUGCCCUGAUGUGGGGGAUAACCAUUGGAAACGAUGGCUAAUACCGCAUAAUAGCUUCGGCUCAAAGAGGGGGACCUUCGGGCCUCUCGCGUCAGGAUAUGCCCAGGUGGGAUUAGCUAGUUGGUGAGGUAAGGGCUCACCAAGGCGACGAUCCCUAGCUGGUCUGAGAGGAUGAUCAGCCACACUGGAACUGAGACACGGUCCAGACUCCUACGGGAGGCAGCAGUGGGGAAUAUUGCACAAUGGGCGCAAGCCUGAUGCAGCCAUGCCGCGUGUAUGAAGAAGGCCUUCGGGUUGUAAAGUACUUUCAGCAGUGAGGAAGGUGGGUGUGUUAAUAGCAUACUCAUUUGACGUUAGUUGCAGAAGAAGCACCGGCUAACUCCGUGCCAGCAGCCGCGGUAAUACGGAGGGUGCGAGCGUUAAUCGGAAUUACUGGGCGUAAAGCGCAUGCAGGUGGAUGAUUAAGUCAGAUGUGAAAGCCCGGGGCUCAACCUCGGAAUAGCAUUUGAAACUGGUCAUCUAGAGUACUGUAGAGGGGGGUAGAAUUUCAGGUGUAGCGGUGAAAU
rnacentral:rRNA from 1 species